rnacentral:rRNA from 1 species
UACGGAGGGUGCGAGCGUUGUUCGGAAUCACUGGGCGUAAAGCGCGUGUAGGCGGCCCACUAAGUCUGAUGUGAAAGCCCGGGGCUCACCCCCGGAAGUGCAUUGGAAACUGGUGGACUCGAGUCCCGGAGAGGAGAGUGGAAUUCCUGGUGUAGCGGUGAAAUGCGUAGAUAUUCGGAAGAACACCAGUGGCGAAGGCGACUUACUGGACGACUGUUGACACUGAGGUGCGAAAGCGUGGGGAGCAAACAGG